UGGCGAACGGGUGAGUAACACGUGAGUAACCUGCCCUUGACUUUGGGAUAACUUCAGGAAACUGGGGCUAAUACCGGAUAGGAGCUCCUGCUGCAUGGUGGGGGUUGGAAAGUUUCGGCGGUUGGGGAUGGACUCGCGGCUUAUCAGCUUGUUGGUGGGGUAGUGGCUUACCAAGGCUUUGACGGGUAGCCGGCCUGAGAGGGUGACCGGCCACAUUGGGACUGAGAUAUGGCCCAG
rnacentral:rRNA from 1 species